rnacentral:rRNA from 1 species
CCUACGGGAGGCAGCAGUGAGGAAUAUUGGUCAAUGGACGGAAGUCUGAACCAGCCAUGCCGCGUGCAGGAAGACGGCUCUAUGAGUUGUAAACUGCUUUUGUACAAGGGUAAACCUGAAUACGUGUAUUCAGCUGAAAGUACUGUACGAAUAAGGAUCGGCUAACUCCGUGCCAGCAGCCGCGGUAAUACGGAGGAUCCAAGCGUUAUCCGGAUUUAUUGGGUUUAAAGGGUGCGUAGGCGGAUUGAUAAGUUAGAGGUGAAAGGUUCGAGCUUAACUCGGGAACUGCCUCUAAUACUGUUGAUCUAGAGAGUAGAUGCGGUAGGCGGAAUGUGUGGUGUAGCGGUGAAAUGCUUAGAGAUCAUGCAGAACACCGAUUGCGAAGGCAGCUUACCAAUCUAUCUCUGACGUUGAGGCACGAAAGCGUGGGGAGCAAACAGGAUUAGAUACCCCAGUAGUC